GUGCCAGCAGCCGCGGUAAUACGGAAGGUCCAAGCGUUAAUCGGAAUUACUGGGCGUAAAGCGCGCGUAGGUGGUUUAUUAAGUUGGAUGUGAAAUCCCCGGGCUCAACCUGGGAACUGCAUCCAAAACUGAUUCACUAGAGUACGAUAGAGGGAGGUAGAAUUCACAGUGUAGCGGUGGAAUGCGUAGAUAUUGUGAAGAAUACCAAUGGCGAAGGCAGCCUCCUGGAUCUGUACUGACACUGAGGUGCGAAAGCGUGGGUAGCGAACAGGAUUAGAUACCCUGGUAGUCCACGCCGUAAACGAUGUCAACUAGCUGUUGGAAAACUAUGUUUUUCAGUGGCGCAGCUAACGUAGUAAGUUGACCGCCUGGGGAGUACGGCCGCAAGGCUAAAACUCAAAUGAAUUGACGGGGACCCGCACAAGCGGUGGAGCAUGUGGUUUAAUUCGAUGCAACGCGAAAAACCUUACCUAUACUUGACAUACUUGGAAUGCUUUGUAAUGAAGCAGUGCCUUCGGGAGCCAAGAUACAGGUGCUGCAUGGCUGUCGUCAGCUCGUGUCGUGAGAUGUUCCGUUAAGUCGGAUAACGAGCGCAACCCUUACCCUUAUUUGCCAGCGAUUCGGUCGGGAACUAUAAGGGGACUGCCGGUGAUAAACCGGAGGAAGGUGAGGACGACGUCAAGUCAUCAUGGCCCUUACGUAUAGGGCUACACACGUGCUACAAUGGAGA
rnacentral:rRNA from 1 species